rnacentral:tRNA from 1 species
GGAUGCAGAACUCGAGUGGUUGAGUGUCCCCCUUUUAAGGGGACAGUUUUGGUUCAACUCCAAAUGUUUCCA